rnacentral:rRNA from 1 species
UACGGAGGGUGCAAGCGUUGUCCGGAUUUAUUGGGUUUAAAGGGUGCGUAGGUGGCCUUGUAAGUCCGUGGUGAAAGCCUCUCGCUUAACGAGAGAACUGCCAUGGAUACUGCAAGGCUUGAGUCCAGACGAGGUUGGCGGAAUGGAUGGUGUAGCGGUGAAAUGCAUAGAUACCAUCCAGAACCCCGAUUGCGUAGCAGCUGACUAGGCUGGUACUGACACUGAGGCACGAAAGCGUGGGGAGCGAACAGG